ACAAUAAAGAUGCAUUCAGUGAACAAGAUAGUAUACAUAGAAAGAAGAAGACACUGACCAAAAAGAGAUGGAUAGUAUGGUUAUUCAUUUGUUGAUUUUUUGCACUGUUUUUUACUUCUUUACUCUUCAAACUAGAUUAUAAU
rnacentral:ribozyme from 12 species